UACGUAGGGUGCGAGCGUUGUCCGGAAUUAUUGGGCGUAAAGAGCUCGUAGGCGGUCUGUCGCGUCGGUCGUGAAAACCUGCAGCUUAACUGUGGGCGUGCGGUCGAUACGGGCAUCACUGGAGUUCGGCAGGGGAGACUGGAAUUCCUGGUGUAGCGGUGGAAUGCGCAGAUAUCAGGAGGAACACCGGUGGCGAAGGCGGGUCUCUGGGCAGUAACUGACGCUGAGGAGCGAAAGCGUGGGGAGCGAACAGG
rnacentral:rRNA from 1 species